GCGGGCGUGGCGGAACUGGCAGACGCGCUAGACUUAGGAUCUAGUGGAGCACAUCCGUGGAGGUUCAAGUCCUCUCGCCCGCA
rnacentral:tRNA from 1 species